AUCAUAGAGAGUUUGAUCCUGGCUCAGGACGAACGCUGGCGGCGUGCCUAACACAUGCAAGUCGAACGAGA
rnacentral:rRNA from 1 species